AGUCGAACGGCAGCACGGACUUCGGUCUGGUGGCGAGUGGCGAACGGGUGAGUACGUAUCGGAACGUGCCUAGUAGCGGGGAUAACUACGCGAAAGUGUAGCUAAUACCGCAUGGCUGGCCCUUCGGGGGAAAGCGGGGGACCUUCGGGCCUCGCAAUUAAUAGAGCGGCUGAUAUCGGAUUAGCUAGUUGGUGGGGUAACGGCUCACCAAGGCGACGAUCCGUAGCUGGUUUGAGAGGACGACCAGCCACACUGGGACUGGAGAUGGCCCAGACUCCUACGGGAGGCAGAAUUUUGGACAUGGGGGAAACCCUGAUCCAGCCAUCCCGCGUGUGCGAUGAAGCCUUCGGGUUGUAAAGCACUUUUGGCAGGAAAGAAACGGCACGGGAUAAUACCCUGUGCAACUGACGGUACCUGCAGAAUAAGCACCGCCAACUACGCCAGCAGCCGCGUACGUAGGGCAAAAAGCGUUAAUCGGAAUUACUGGGCGCAAUGCAGGUAUGGUUCAAAAGAAAAGAUGCGAAAUCCCAGAGCUUAACUUUGAACCGCAUUUUUAACUACCGAGCUAGAGGUCAGAGGGAGGUGGACUCGUGUGUAGCAGUGAAAUGCGUAGAUAUGCGAGAGAACACCGAUGGCGAAGGUAGCCUCCUGGGAUAACACUGACGCUCAUGCACGAAAGCGUGGGAUAAAUAGGGAUUAUGGUUCUUGGUAGUCCACGCCCUAAACGAUGUCAACUAGCUGCUAGGCCUUCGGCCCAGCGCAGCUAACGCAGGGAAGGACUCGCCUGGGGAGUACGUCGCAAGAUUAAAACUCAAAGAUGACGGGGAUCUCGCACAAGCGGUACGAUGGAUUAAUUCGAUGCACCGCGAAAAACCUUAACGGCCUUUGAGAUGUCUGGAAUCCCGAAGAUUUGGGAGUGCUCGCAAGAGUAAAACCGAACACAGGUGCCGCAUGGCUGUCGUCAGCUCGUGUCGUGAGAUGCUGGUUAAGUCCUGCAACGAGCGGCAACCUUGUUACAGCAGCAUGAAAGGGCACUCUAAUGACUGCCGGUGACAAACUGAGGGAAGGGAUGAUGCCAAGUCCUCAUGGCCCUAUGGGUAGGGCUUCACACGUCAUACAAUGGUCGGGACAGAGGGUCGCCAACCCGCGAGGGGGCUAAUCCCAGAAAACCGAUUUCAGUCCGAUCGUAGUCUGCAACCCGACUGCGUGGUUUGGAAUCGCCAGUAAUCGCGGAUCAGCAUGUCGCGGUGAAUACGUUCCCGGGUCUUGUAAGAGACACCGCCCGCUACACCAUGGGGAGUGGGUUUUACCAGAAGUAGUUAGCCUGACCGUAAGGAGGGUUACUUACCACGGUAGGAUUCAUGACUGGGGUGAAGCGUCGUAACAAGGUAG
rnacentral:rRNA from 1 species